rnacentral:rRNA from 1 species
AGUCGAGCGAGAAAAGGGGAGCAAUCCCCUGAGUAAAGCGGCGCACGGGUGAGUAACACGUGGGUAAUCUGCCCUAGAGUGGGGAAUAACACCGGGAAACCGGUGCUAAUACCGCAUACGAUCACGAUGUCUGCGGACGUUGUGAUGAAAGGAGCAAUUCGCUCUAGGAGGAGCCCGCGGCUGAUUAGCUAGUUGGUGAGGUAAUGGCUCACCAAGGCUUCGAUCAGUAUCCGGUCUGAGAGGACGGUCGGACACACUGGAACUGAGACACGGUCCAGACUCCUACGGGAGGCAGCAGUGGGGAAUUUUUGGCAAUGGGGGCAACCCUGACCAAGCAACGCCGCGUGGAUGAUGAAGUCUCUUGGGACGUAAAAUCCUUUCGACGGGGACGAAAGCCGCAAGGUUUGACGGUACCCGUAGAAGAAGCCCCGGCUAACUCCGUGCCAGCAGCCGCGGUAAUACGGGGGGGGCAAGCGUUGUUCGGAAUUACUGGGCGUAAAGGGCGCGUAGGCGGUUUGUUAAGUUGGAUGUGAAAACUCUGGGCUUAACCCAGAGCCUGCAUCCAAAACUAGCAGGCUAGAGUUCUGGAGGGGAUAGCGGAAUUCCUGGUGUAGCGGUGAAAUGCGUAGAUAUCAGGAGGAACACCGGUGGCGAAGGCGGCUAUCUGGACAGAAACUGACGCUGAGGCGCGAAAGCUAGGGGAGCAAACAGGAUUAGAUACCCUGGUAGUCCUAGCCCUAAACGAUGGAUACUUGGUGUGACUGGGAUUGAAUCCAGUCGUGCCGAAGCUAACGCAUUAAGUAUCCCGCCUGGGGAGUACGGUC